UUCUGUUAGGCGUUUGCGCCGCUCUGAGGAAUCCAGCUGUUUCCGGUCUGAGGCGGCGCGGGGCCUGCGGGUGGGGUUUUGAGCCACUGGCGGGAAGGCAGGUUCCGGGCAUGUCCUCGCUCGGGUUCUGUUCUGCAGGCCGACCACGUGCCCGUUGGUUCAUUUGACCAGGGCGUGUGAUAGCUGGCGUGUCCAGGGCCGGGCUGGGGGCUGGGGGGGGGGACCCGGCUCCUGCUGCACCGUGUGCGUGACCUGGCACGAAAUCCUCUCGGCGUGGGACCCAGUGCCCGCCCCGCUGCCCCCCGAAGAGGCCUAAGGAACUUGGAGGAUGAUGGGUAGGGGAGCCUGGCAGAAUGGAGCAUUUCUCCACGAGGAGCGACGGUUGAAAGUUUGACUGGCUCCAACUUCUGAACAUCACUAUGCCUGCAGGAUUCAAUAACUGCACACCUUGGAAACUAAUCUCUUUCCUUAGAGACUAAUCCUUCAUCCUGACCCCCAUCCCAUGUCUGGGAUGCCCAGGACAAAUUAUGGGGAGGAAAACAAAAUUCUUAUUGGACUGAAAUCAAGGUAUCAACAUUGUUAAACCUGUGAAACUUUUUCAGCUUUGUGACUAAGAGACAGCCAGCCUUUCAGCUGGGUGAGCUUUCCAGUUGCAUGAGAAAGAGCUUCAUCAGAAACCACCUACAUUCUUGCCAUUCAAAAAAAUAGAAAAAAAGAAAGAGAAGAAUAUAGAAAGAAUUGCUUCUCCUCUAAAAAAACAGGUGAGCUAUCACAUUCCAAAAAAGUCUGUGUCUGGUUUGGGAAGCUGAUUCAUGGAGACUGACGUCAACCUGGUUCUAGCCUCUGGGCCAAAAAGAAUCAUGAAAGAAGUGAUUUCCUCAAUGACCUGAUGUGAUGUCAGGCUUAAUCUGCCACAGUCAACUGGUGAACAGUCCUUGGAUGGUUUCAUAAUGGUGCAGAAGAGACCUUGUCCACCUCCAGUAGCAGAAAAAAGUGACCAAGCAAACAGCCCAGUAACAGAGCCAGUCUAAAUUUUUUUUUUUUUUUUUUUUGCAGUUGCAGUUGCAGUUGCAAGAUUUAAUAGAGUGAAAACAGA